UACGAAGGGUGCAAGCGUUAAUCGGAAUUACUGGGCGUAAAGGGUGCGUAGGCGGUUUGUCGCGUCUGCUGUGAAAACUCGGGGCUUAACCCCGGGCCUGCAGUGGGUACGGGCAGACUAGAGUGCGGUAGGGGAGAACUGGAAUUCCUGGUGUAGCGGUGAAAUGCGCAGAUAUCAGGAGGAACACCGGUGGCGAAGGCGGGUCUCUGGGCCGUAACUGACGCUGAGGAGCGAAAGCGUGGGGGAGCGA
rnacentral:rRNA from 1 species